GUGAGGAAUAUUGGUCAAUGGGCGGGAGCCUGAACCAGCCAAGUCGCGUGAAGGAAGAAGGAUCUAUGGUUCGUAAACUUCUUUUGCAGGGGAAUAAAGUGCAGGACGUGUCCUGUUUUGUAUGUACCCUGAGAAUAAGGAUCGGCUAACUCCGUGCCAGCAGCCGCGGUAAUACGGAGGAUCCGAGCGUUAUCCGGAUUUAUUGGGUUUAAAGGGUGCGUAGGUGGUUUGAUAAGUCAGCGGUGAAAGUUUGCAGCUUAACUGUAAAUAUGCCGUUGAAACUGUCGGACUUGAGUGUAAAUGAGGUAGGCGGAAUGCGUGGUGUAGCGGUUAAAUGCAUAGAUAUCACGCAGAACUCCGAUUGCGAAGGCAGCUUACUAAGCUACAACUGACACUGAAGCACGAAAGCGUGGGGAUCAAACAGGAUUAGAAACCCGUGUAGUCC
rnacentral:rRNA from 1 species